rnacentral:rRNA from 1 species
UACGAAGGGGGCUAGCGUUGUUCGGAAUCACUGGGCGUAAAGCGCACGCAGGCGGAUUGAUAAGUCAGGGGUGAAAUCCCGGAGCUCAACUUCGGAAUUGCCUUUGAUACUGUUAAUCUCGAGUCCGGGAGAGGUGAGUGGAAUUCCUAGUGUAGAGGUGAAAUUUGUAGAUAUUAGGAAGAACACCAGUGGCGAAGGCGGCUCACUGGCCCGGUACUGACGCUCAUGUGCGAAAGCGUGGGGAGCGAACAGG